UCCUGCGUUGGUUGCCUAAUGUGACGGAAAUUGACCCCAAAUGAGUCCGAAUUUUUGCCUCUCACCAAUUUGCGGUGUUAGGUUGACGUGGAAGUACUGCCCAUUGUCCUUGAAUGCUUCGCCCUUUCGCGUUGCAAUCCUGGCCCAUGGGUUGCUACUAGUUUCCUCGGAUGCAGAACCUUUGAAGGGUGUACAGCAUAUUUCUAUUGCUUACCCACAAAGUGUUCAUGUUNNGAUGUGUACGACGGUUGUGCCCGCCUCUGUCCCAUCUUUACCCUG
rnacentral:misc_RNA from 1 species